rnacentral:lncRNA from 1 species
UGAUGCCCUCUUCUGGUGUGUCUGAAGACAGCUACAGUGUAAUCAUAUAUAUAAUAAAUAGUUCUUUAAAAAAGAAAGAAACUCAAGUGUAAAAGUGUAGACUACUGGACAAAAUGGUGACAGAAGGGUGUUGUACUAGUGCUUAAGUCUCCAUCCAGGGCCCUCUCAAAAGGCGCAUUAGCUUGCAUAAGUGAGUUCAUGUUGUCCUCUCAGCAGCUGUGUGAAUCCUGUUUGCUCUGGUGAAAUACCUAGUUCAAACAGGUUCGGUUGUCUGUGGUCAUAUUCCUGUAAGUUGUGCUCCUAGGAUUCCUCUAGCCACCAUCUAGGUACCACUGUCAGUUUGAGCUGCUCACAGUGAUGUAGUGGUCAUAUCUAGCAGACCAAGAAUUCCAUAUCCCAAGAAUGUCCUGCCUAGCAUUGGCAGCAGAGCCCUAGGGAUGACUGAACUGCAUUAACUCUGUUAAAAAAAAAAAAAAAACAAAAACAAACAAACAAAAAAAACACCAAAAUCGACAUCCUGGUGUAACCUUGUCCUAGUGUGAACUCGUUGUAGUCUGUAGAACUUAGGGAUAAACAAGGAAGGCAAAUAAUGGAUUUAGUGCACGAGCUUUGAAGUGUUUUCCUAUAAUUUAGAUAUCCUAAAAAUAUUUGAAGUUGUGUUAUAAGGAGCUGAAUCUGUCUUUUUCUCUUGUAAGCUUUCUUUCUGUGGUUUUUAUAAGAGGAAAGAAAGAGGUGUAAUGGUCAUCUCUAAAACAGUUUCAACCACGAUAGUGAGUCUUUGCUGAAGCUGUAAGUACAAAGAGUCUAGUCUCAGGCUACAAAAUGGAACCAGGAGGUCAUUGAAACUAAACCUUUAGACCACCUGGUGCUUAGCUCCAGACUAGAUUGGCUCAAUAACCAACAGUUGAGUCUCCUGGGAGUUAGGAAAGGAACCAAAUGCUAUUCAAGUCUUUGUUGGCUCCUAGGAUCCUAUGGGAGAACUGAGGCUCAGAUUGGAUCCUUGCUUACAAGCCCUUAGCUUCUGAUCUCCUGCCACUUUCCAUUACACAUCUCCCUCAGAAUCUUCAGUGUCUUGAAGAGUGCAAAUGUAAAUUUGUUUCCCAUAUGAUUUCAAUUGGGCCCAUCCCUUAACACUUAGAAGUUAGAAUUCUAGGCAAGU